GUGGGUGCCCCAUCCCACGCAACUCCCUGUCCUGUUGUGCCAGAGCG
rnacentral:snoRNA from 1 species